ACGGGAGGCAGCAGUGGGGAAUAUUGCACAAUGGGCGAAAGCCUGAUGCAGCGACGCCGCGUGAGUGAAGAAGUAUUUCGGUAUGUAAAGCUCUAUCAGCAGGGAAGAAAAAUGACGGUACCUGACUAAGAAGCACCGGCUAAAUACGUGCCAGCAGCCGCGGUAAUACGUAUGGUGCAAGCGUUAUCCGGAUUUACUGGGUGUAAAGGGAGCGCAGGCGGUACGGCAAGUCUGAUGUGAAAGCCCGGGGCUCAACCCCGGUACUGCAUUGGAAACUGUCGAACUAGAGUGUCGGAGGGGUAAGCGGAAUUCCUAGUGUAGCGGUGAAAUGCGUAGAUAUUAGGAGGAACACCAGUGGCGAAGGCGGCUUGCUGGACGACAACUGACGCUGAGGCGCGAAAGCGUGGGGAGCAAACAGGAUUAGAUACCCUGGUA
rnacentral:rRNA from 1 species